CUGUUUUCUCCGCCUCCCAACUUAUUUCUCCUCCAACCUCAACAACUCUAAUAAUGGUUAAACAUGUUUCACUACUUACUAGAGAUUUCUUCUGGGAUCCAUUUAAAAAUAAAUAGCAAAACUCAAUUGAACUACUAUUGCAUCAGGAAAUGAGAACACCCCACUUCAAAAUGUGAUUUACCAGACGGUCCAGACCAGUAAGAUUGUGAAUCCUACCAGCCACAUAAUGAACUCAUUACAAUCGCAAACAAGCAUAAGUAUAAGUAACCGUGUCCUCCAAUAAUCGGUUAAAGAAGUGCAGACGAACAAACUCCAGAAAGUGAAAGGGAAAGAACAUUCCAUGACC